rnacentral:rRNA from 1 species
CUACGGGGGGCUGCAGUGGGGAAUAUUGGACAAUGGGGGAAACCCUGAUCCAGCAAUGCCGCGUGUGUGAAGAAGGCCUGCGGGUUGUAAAGCACUUUCGGUUGGGAGGACUGCUUCUAGCACUAAUAUUGUUGGAAGUUGACGUUACCUUCAGAAGAAGCACCGGCUAACUCCGUGCCAGCAGCCGCGGUCAUACGGAGGGUGCAAGCGUUAAUCGGAAUUACUGGGCGUAAAGCGCGCGUAGGCGGCUAGAUCAGUCGGGUGUGAAAGCCCCGGGCUUAACCUGGGAACUGCAUCCGAUACUGUCUAGCCUGAGUACAGGAGAGGAGAGUGGAAUUCCACAUGUAGCGGUGAAAUGCGUAGAUAUGUGGAGGAACACCAAUGGCGAAGGCAGCUCUCUGGCCUGAUACUGACGCUGAGGUGCGAAAGCGUGGGGAGCAAACAGGAUUAGAUACCCCCGUAGUC